rnacentral:rRNA from 1 species
CAUGUCUGUAUGAGAGUUAUAUAAAGUCUGACCUGCCCAUUGGGGACUAAAAGGCCGCGGUAUUUUGACCGUGCGAAGGUAGCAUAAUCAUUAGUCUUUUAAUUGAAGGCUGGAAUGAAUGGUUGGACGAGAAGAAAGCUGUCUCUAUCUUGGGGAUUGAAUUUAACUUUUAAGUGAAAAGGCUUAAAUGAGUUAGAGGGACGAUAAGACCCUAUAAAGUUUAUACAUGAAGCUGGUUAAGAGUGAUUUGAGGUAUUAAAGUUUAUUAUCAGCAGGGUGUUUAGUUGGGGCGACUAGGAUAUAAAUUAUAUAACUGUUUUUUGUUUAAAUCAGAGAUACUUGUUUAUAUGAUCCCUUUUUAGGAUUAGAGAAUAAAUUACUUUAGGGAUAACAGCGUAAUUUUUUUUAAGAGUUCUUAUCGACAAGAGAGUUUGCGACCUCGAUGUUGAAUUAAAAAUUUCUUUGUGGUGUAGCAGUUACAGAAGAAGGUCUGUUCGACCUUUAAAUUUUUACAUGAUUUGAGUUCAGACCGGCGAAAGCCA